rnacentral:rRNA from 1 species
GACGAACGCUGGCGGCGUGCCUAAUACAUGCAAGUAGAACGCUGAAGGAGGAGCUUGCUUCUCUGGAUGAGUUGCGAACGGGUGAGUAACGCGUAGGUAACCUGCCUGGUAGUGGGGGAUAACUAUUGGAAACGAUAGCUAAUACCGCAUAAUAGCAGUUGUUGCAUGAUAACUGUUUGAAAGGUGCAAUUGCACCGCUACCAGAUGGACCUGCGUUGUAUUAGCUAGUUGGUGGGGUAACGGCUCACCAAGGCGACGAUACAUAGCCGACCUGAGAGGGUGAUCGGCCACACUGGGACGGAGACACGGCCCAGACUCCUACGGGAGGCAGCAGUAGGGAAUCUUCGGCAAUGGACGGAAGUCUGACCGAGCAACGCCGCGUGAGUGAAGAAGGUUUUCGGAUCGUAAAGCUCUGUUGUAAGAGAAGAACGAGUGUGAGAGUGGAAAGUUCACACUGUGACGGUAUCUUACCAGAAAGGGACGGCUAACUACGUG